rnacentral:rRNA from 1 species
UACGGAGGGGGCUAGCGUUGUUCGGAAUUACUGGGCGUAAAGCGUACGUAGGCGGCUUUGUAAGUUAGAGGUGAAAGCCCGGGGCUCAACUCCGGAAUUGCCUUUAAGACUGCAUCGCUUGAAUCAUGGAGAGGUGAGUGGAAUUCCGAGUGUAGAGGUGAAAUUCGUAGAUAUUCGGAAGAACACCAGUGGCGAAGGCGGCUCACUGGACAUGUAUUGACGCUGAGGUACGAAAGCGUGGGGAGCAAACAGG